AUUGAACGCUGGCGGCAGGCCUAACACAUGCAAGUCGAGCGGUAGCACAGAGAGCUUGCUCUCGGGUGACGAGCGGCGGACGGGUGAGUAAUGUCUGGGAAACUGCCUGAUGGAGGGGGAUAACUACUGGAAACGGUAGCUAAUACCGCAUAACGUCGCAAGACCAAAGUGGGGGACCUUCGGGCCUCAUGCCAUCAGAUGUGCCCAGAUGGGAUUAGCUAGUAGGUGGGGUAAUGGCUCACCUAGGCGACGAUCCCUAGCUGGUCUGAGAGGAUGACCAGCCACACUGGAACUGAGACACGGUCCAGACUCCUACGGGAGGCAGCAGUGGGGAAUAUUGCACAAUGGGCGCAAGCCUGAUGCAGCCAUGCCGCGUGUGUGAAGAAGGCCUUCGGGUUGUAAAGCACUUUCAGCGGGGAGGAAGGCGUUAAGGUUAAUAACCUUGGCGAUUGACGUUACCCGCAGAAGAAGCACCGGCUAACUCCGUGCCAGCCGCCGCCGUAAGAC
rnacentral:rRNA from 1 species